AUGCCUGAGAGAUCCAGGACCCUCCCCACCUCACCCAGAGGUCCAAGAUGGCUUCUUGGCACCCAGCUGCAGAGUCACUGGGCCAUCCUCUCGGGGAACGUUUGCCUUGAGCCCUUCACAUGCCUUGAACUCCUGCCCGUGUGUGGACUAGAACAGAGAGGUGGCCCUGGUUCUGCAGCCUCGAAUAGAGGGCCAGGGACAGACAUACAGAUUGAGCUGGGACGAGGCUGUUCACUGCUCUACGCCAUCAGGAGCUGGGUAGAAGGAAGGACAGCACCUCAGAGCCUGGCCUGGACAUGAGUGGAUGCAGAGAUGGUGAUGAUGUUUUUCCUGUCCCCACCCCAUCCCUGUGGACUGCAGUGCUUGCGGCCCAUAGGAGGCAGGCAGCUCAGACCCCCACAGCCUUGCAUUCCUGGGGUUCAGCAGCAGGUGACACAGAGGAUGAGGGUACAUCAUCUCACAUGAUCUCACUGCAACCAGACCAGCAAGGCCCAGGGAGGGAGAGAAACUCAGGAAAGACUGAGAUUGCAGGCCUCCUGGGGGACCAAGUGGCUUGGGGCAUCCAGGGUAACUUGGCCUGCUAGUGAUACACAGGCUUGGGUGCAGACCCCGUCUGUGAGGUGCCCACUUCUUCCCAGGGCAUUGCUACAGAAACCUUGACGGAAAUGACUGUUUUCUCCAGGCUUAAGGGUUCUUGGAAGACCCUCAUACCUGUGGCCCCGCCCCACCUCCGGCAGAGGCCACUAGGGUACAGCAGAGCAGUACCACAGUGAGUUCACCCUAUGGGAGACCUAGUUCAAUUCUGGUUCCGCCAUUUCUAGCAAUGAGUUCUGGCAAACUCUCCAGCAGCCCUGGGCAGUGUCAUCCACUGCACAAUCGGAGCAACCCCCCUACCCCCACCCCAACAUGGUCCCUGGCUUGCUCUGAAAGUCAGGGAAACCUGCAGAGGCAGGAACAAGGAACACGGCAGCACCCGCUCCUUGCUCGAUGCUAUUUCCAAUGACACUUGUUCCAGGACUGUGUCUCCUGGGCCAUGCCCACUCUGUGGUCUCCUCCCAACCCCUGCUGGUCCCUCCAGCCUUUCUCCCAGCAUCUGCUGUUUCCAUGACACCCUUGGCUGGGGAGCUAAUUUUAAUGAGCAAGAUUGAUUAACACGCAAUUACUACUUUCCUUCCCUGUCCCUUUUGUCUUUUAGAAAUGGAAACAAAGGACAUUCUGGAACUUGAGUCAAACAUUUACCAAAUUAAUUCUCAAGAAAAUGUUUGAGAUUCCAGGGGCUGGUGGCUAUUUUUUUUUCUUCUUCUUCUUUCUUAACUACACUACAUCAGGAAGUAAUUGCCUGAUUAAGGGACACAGAGCUUGGAGAGUGACACAUUUUUUAAAAUUAGAACGCCCCUGCCAACAGACAUGUACGCCACGGGUUGUCUCUUCCUCAAGCAACUCCACUCUAAAAGAGAAAUAGCAGAGACAGAAAGGAAAAGGAAGGGAGUCGGGGGGCAAGGACCUCCUUCCUGACCUCCAAGACCCCAGCUGCUCCCCAACACAUGUACCUUCAUUUGUGCAAACCAGGGCUCAUGGGAAGAUGUCAAUUCCAGCCCCGAGAGUGGGAAGCACACCCCAGGCAGGGCAGUAGGGUUGCAGGGCUUCCUAUGACCUGGAUGCCACCUUCCAGGCCAGAGAUGACAGCACCCACCGGGAAAUAAUAAAGUGACUAUAGAGAAAUGUAUUGUGGGAGAC
ensembl:lncRNA